AUGCACCGAAACCCUCGCGUCCUCCUCCGCGCCGCCGCCUAUCUCCUCCGCCCCACCGCCGCCGCUCGGCAACCCCUGACGAACGUCAGACCUCCCCUGCCGCUUUCUCCGCGGGGCCUCAUCCUCCCUGCACAACGCCGCGCCUUCUCGACUGACUACGGCAAGGACGUCGACGAGGUGAACCGCAAGUUCGCCGAAGCGCGGGAGGAGAUCGAGGCUGCCAUGGACAGCAAAGAGACGGUGUACUUCAACGAGGAGGCCGCCUGUGCGCGCGACGCCGCCGGUGAGGCCCUUGGCGCCUUCGACGCGCUGCUCGCGCGGGUCCCUCCCGCAGACGCCGACGCGCUCCGCCGGUCCAUGGGGCUCAAGAUGGAGCAGCUCAAGGCCGAGCUCAAGCAGCUCGAGGAGUAG
rnacentral:rRNA from 1 species